CAGCCAUGGUGAGGGCACUGUCUUUGGAUGUCUCGGUAUCUCUCCAAGCCUCAAAGAGACUUUCAUCCGGUUUCUGCCUAAAGGUAGCGAUCUUCGUCUUUAGCCU
rfam:Jatropha curcas cultivar GZQX0401 scaffold9_49, whole genome shotgun sequence.